rnacentral:rRNA from 1 species
GGGUUGUGAGGUUAAGCGACUAAGCGUACACGGUGGAUGCCCUGGCAGUCAGAGGCGAUGAAGGACGUGCUAAUCUGCGAAAAGCGCCGGUAAGGUGAUAUGAACCGUUAUAGCCGGCGAUGUCCGAAUGGGGAAACCCAGUGUGACUCGUCACACUAUCAUUAACUGAAUCCAUAGGUUAAUGAGGCGAACCGGGGGAACUGAAACAUCUAAGUACCCCGAGGAAAAGAAAUCAACCGAGAUUCCCCCAGUAGCGGCGAGCGAACGGGGAGGAGCCCAGAGUCUGAAUCAGCUUGUGUGUUAGUGGAAGCGUCUGGAAAGUCGCGCGAUACAGGGUGACAGCCCCGUACACAAAAGCACACAGGCUGUGAGCUCGAUGAGUAGGGCGGGACACGUGGUAUCCUGUCUGAAUAUGGGGGGACCAUCCUCCAAGGCUAAAUACUCCUGACUGACCGAUAGUGAACCAGUACCGUGAGGGAAAGGCGAAAAGAACCCCGGCGAGGGGAGUGAAAAAGAACCUGAAACCGUGUACGUACAAGCAGUGGGAGCCUCUUGAUGGGGUGACUGCGUACCUUUUGUAUAAUGGGUCAGCGACUUAUAUUCUGUAGCAAGGUUAACCGAAUAGGGGAGCCGAAGGGAAACCGAGUCUUAACUGGGCGUUAAGUUGCAGGGUAUAGACCCGAAACCCGGUGAUCUAGCCAUGGGCAGGUUGAAGGUUGGGUAACACUAACUGGAGGACCGAACCGACUAAUGUUGAAAAAUUAGCGGAUGACCUGUGGCUGGGGGUGAAAGGCCAAUCAAACCGGGAGAUAGCUGGUUCUCCCCGAAAGCUAUUUAGGUAGCGCCUCGUGAAUUCAUCUCCGGGGGUAGAGCACUGUUUCGGCUAGGGGGCCAUCCCGGCUUACCAACCCGAUGCAAACUACGAAUACCGGAGAAUGUUAUCACGGGAGACACACGGCGGGUGCUAACGUCCGUCGUGAAGAGGGAAACAACCCAGACCGCCAGCUAAGGUCCCAAAGUCAUGGUUAAGUGGGAAACGAUGUGGGAAGGCCCAGACAGCCAGGAUGUUGGCUUAGAAGCAGCCAUCAUUUAAAGAAAGCGUAAUAGCUCACUGGUCGAGUCGGCCUGCGCGGAAGAUGUAACGGGGCUAAACCAUGCACCGAAGCUGCGGCAGCGACACUAUUGUGUUGUUGGGUAGGGGAGCGUUCUGUAAGCCUGCGAAGGUGGCCUGUGAGGGUUGCUGGAGGUAUCAGAAGUGCGAAUGCUGACAUAAGUAACGAUAAAGCGGGUGAAAAGCCCGCUCGCCGGAAGACCAAGGGUUCCUGUCCAACGUUAAUCGGGGCAGGGUGAGUCGACCCCUAAGGCGAGGCCGAAAGGCGUAGUCGAUGGGAAACAGGUUAAUAUUCCUGUACUUGGUGUUACUGCGAAGGGGGGACGGAGAAGGCUAUGUUAGCCGGGCGACGGUUGUCCCGGUUUAAGCGUGAAGGUGUGUGCUCCAGGCAAAUCCGGAGUGCUUUAACACUGAGGCGUGAUGACGAGGCACCACGGUGCUGAAGUAACAAAUGCCCUGCUUCCAGGAAAAGCCUCUAAGCUCCAGGUAACACGAAAUCGUACCCCAAACCGACACAGGUGGUCAGGUAGAGAAUACCAAGGCGCUUGAGAGAACUCGGGUGAAGGAACUAGGCAAAAUGGUGCCGUAACUUCGGGAGAAGGCACGCUGAUAUGUAGGUGAAGCGACUUGCUCGUGGAGCUGAAAUCAGUCGAAGAUACCAGCUGGCUGCAACUGUUUAUUAAAAACACAGCACUGUGCAAACACGAAAGUGGACGUAUACGGUGUGACGCCUGCCCGGUGCCGGAAGGUUAAUUGAUGGGGUCAUCCGUAAGGAGAAGCUCUUGAUCGAAGCCCCGGUAAACGGCGGCCGUAACUAUAACGGUCCUAAGGUAGCGAAAUUCCUUGUCGGGUAAGUUCCGACCUGCACGAAUGGCGUAAUGAUGGCCAGGCUGUCUCCACCCGAGACUCAGUGAAAUUGAACUCGCUGUGAAGAUGCAGUGUACCCGCGGCAAGACGGAAAGACCCCGUGAACCUUUACUAUAGCUUGACACUGAACACUGGUCCUUGAUGUGUAGGAUAGGUGGGAGGCUUUGAAGCGUGGACGCCAGUCUGCGUGGAGCCAUCCUUGAAAUACCACCCUUUAAUGGCUGGUGUUCUAACGUGGACCCGUAAUCCGGGUUGCGGACAGUGUCUGGUGGGUAGUUUGACUGGGGCGGUCUCCUCCUAAAGCGUAACGGAGGAGCACGAAGGUCAGCUAAUCCUGGUCGGACAUCAGGAGGUUAGUGCAAUGGCAUAAGCUGGCUUGACUGCGAGCGUGACGGCGCGAGCAGGUGCGAAAGCAGGUCAUAGUGAUCCGGUGGUUCUGAAUGGAAGGGCCAUCGCUCAACGGAUAAAAGGUACUCCGGGGAUAACAGGCUGAUACCGCCCAAGAGUUCAUAUCGACGGCGGUGUUUGGCACCUCGAUGUCGGCUCAUCACAUCCUGGGGCUGAAGUAGGUCCCAAGGGUAUGGCUGUUCGCCAUUUAAAGUGGUACGCGAGCUGGGUUUAGAACGUCGUGAGACAGUUCGGUCCCUAUCUGCCGUGGGCGCUGGAGAAUUGAGGGGGGCUGCUCCUAGUACGAGAGGACCGGAGUGGACGCAUCACUGGUGUUCGGGUUGUCAUGCCAAUGGCACUGCCCGGUAGCUAAAUGCGGAAGAGAUAAGUGCUGAAAGCAUCUAAGCACGAAACUUGCCCCGAGAUGAGUUCUCCCUGAGACUUUAAGUCUCCUGAAGGAACGUUGAAGACGACGACGUUGAUAGGCCGGGUGUGUAAGCGCAGCGAUGCGUUGAGCUAACCGGUACUAAUGAACCGUGAGGCUUAACCUUACAACGCCGAAG